UACGUAGGCAGCGAGCGUUGUUCGGAAUUACUGGGCGUAAAGAGUGUGUAGGCGGUGCUCUAAGUUCGGUGUGAAAUCUCCUGGCUCAACUGGGAGGGUGCGCCGGAAACUGGAGUGCUUGAGCGUGGGAGAGGAAAGCGGAAUUCCUGGUGUAGCGGUGAAAUGCGUAGAUAUCAGGAGGAACACCGGUGGCGAAGGCGGUUCUCUGGGCCUGUACUGACGCUGAGGAACGAAAGCGUGGGGAGCGAACAGG
rnacentral:rRNA from 1 species